rnacentral:lncRNA from 1 species
AGCAGAAGGAGAAGCUGGGUUCGGUGUGGGGAAAGCUCUUUUUCAGACACAAAUAGCUUUGAUAACAGCAGGAGAAAACAUAGAAAAUUACUGCCAAUGUAAAAUAACUUGUCAUAUAAAUGCUUCUGUCAACUGUGCCCAUGUUAUAAGGGCCCCUGAAGGAUAUGUGUCAGAUCUUAGAUGUGUCUGAUCGUGCAUAUCCAGAUACUGGAACUUAGUGUUGGGAGCUCUGCAAGACUGAUGUACAUCUGAUAGGUGUAUACCAUCUCCGUGACUGUCUCAAAAACUCAUCCCUUUUAAUGAUGCUGUUUGAACACUGCUGGUCCUUUGCAAACUCUGCCUCAUGAAUAAUACAGCAACCUGGCAUCACAUGAACUGCACAAGCGUCUUCCAAUUUCGCGGUCUAUUCUUGUGAAUGAUGAUAGACAUUCUGGCCACCUCGAGUACAACCAUAUUGUCUCUGCACAGAUGAAGCAGAUUUAUCACUUUUUCUCUUCCCUUCUAUCCAACAAAUCAUCUUGUGUAACAAAGAAAAAAAAGGGAAAAUAUCCAGCAAAUCCAAG